AGCUGCUUGAGAUCAGUAUUGUUAAAUAAAAAUUAAAAACUCUAGGCUUUAUUUUAGCAGUUUAAGUACAAGCUUUGCCAACUAACUAUGCAAUGUGAAUUAUGUUUUUACCAAUCUUAGACUGUGAA